rnacentral:lncRNA from 1 species
CUCAGUGGUCACACAGGAAUCUGUGAGGGAUGUGUGUACCACGGGUGGGGAUCUCUGGGAGCCAUGGUGAAGGCUGCCCACCUCACAGAUCAAGAUGAGGCUCUUGGGUCUCUUUCUAAACAGAAGAGGAAACAAUGGAGAGGUUUGAAUCCAGAGGAUGACAGUGUCUGGAUUUCAUUCAUCAACCCUCUCCUUGUGCUGACAUUGAAAUGAGGCCAAGAGAGGAAGUGCCUGUUGCAAUAGCGCAUUGCUGAACCCAGGCCUGGUUUGAGUGGUGUUCAUGCUACAUCCCUUCUCGUAAUUCUUCCAUCUCUUUGUUUGUGCAUUACUUGCACUUGACACCACCUCACAGGUGGUAUGGAUAUUAUUUCAUAUACACCUGAUGAUGUCCCUAGCAAGUAGAUUCUAGGCGGAUUCCCCUUGGGCAGGUUUGGAGACUGGGGAGGCCCUGAGAGGCACAAUGAGUUUUCCAGGACAGAGAACUGGUAAGAUAAAGGAGGUCUGAAUUCUGCUCCGCCUCCUCAAAGCUGGGACCCUCAUCACAUUCCCAGGGAGCUGUGGCUGGGGCUGUGGAAGCUCCUCUGUAGAGUUAAGAAGAAGACAUGGGGGUGGUUUGGGUAGGUCCGAUUACAGGAAGCAGCCCAGGUAAUGGAAUCUUGAAAAAGUGACCUCACUUCCUUGGCGAUAGACCCCAACAGACUUAGAACUCUGGUAACCAGGCAGUUAAUUCUAGAGACAGACCCCUAGCCAGUUCAUUUGACUGGAGACACUUCAGAGAAGAACAUGUUUCCUUGUUGUAUCCCAGUUUUCAGAGGCUCUAGGCUCAGGAAAGCCCAGAGUGUGAGACUGUUGUGUUGUUGUGGACAUCGGAUCAAGCCUCAUGGCCAAUUUGGCAGGAGGUACCCAAAGAACUCCACACAGGAGACCUUUGAAGAGCUACGUGGUGGGUUCGACUUCUCUCCCUCCCUAGUCAAGGGGCAGGAGCAGCAGGCCGCCAGCAGCAUCCUGUGCCGGUCUGAGAACUCCACUCAGGAUAUCUUUGAAGAGUUAUGCGAUGGGUUCGACUUCUCUCCCUCCCUAGUCAAGGGGCAGGAGCAGCAGGCUGCCAGCAGCAUCCUGUGCCGGUCUGAGGUGAGAGCAGGAGCAGAAGGUCUUUACCCCCACCCCCCCAAGAUGUUCAGGGUGGGCCUGGAACCCAGGUCCCAAUCUGAGCACACCCCUGGGGCACUCACAGGGCUUUCCCACUGGGUGUCCUACGGCCUUGCUCCUGAAGGAGUCUGGGCCUCCUCUCCUCCCCAGCCAGCUGUGGGGUAGGGUGGAAAGACACUCUCCACAUGUUUCUUGGAAUCAUAGAGGAAAGGUUUACUGUUGUUAUCACUUUUCACAAGGCCAUGAGGACCUUAGCAUUUUGCUCCUGUUUUGAUCAAUGUAACUACCCGGCUGGGGAGCUGUAUAGCACUCAGGCCACUGUCCUUGCAGACCUGCUCCAAGCCUCACGAAUCAUCACACUUGCUGGGCUGAUUUACACACAAAGAGCAUUCCAGUGGGAUGAGAGGAUUCUAUACAUUUCUCUCCAACUUGUCAUUGCACAGAACACGGCAACUCAUUGUAGGCCGGUCAGGU